rnacentral:rRNA from 1 species
GUCCUAUUGUUUUUAUUUUAGGUCUGACCUGCCCAGUGAUUUAUUUAACGGCCGCGGUAUUUUGACCGUGCAAAGGUAGCAUAAUCAUUUGUCUUUUAAUUGGAGGCUGGAAUGAAUGGUUUGACGAGGGAACAUCUUUAUUAUUAUAAAUUUAAAAAUUUAACUUUUAAGUUAAAAGGCUUAAAUUAUUUUAUGGGACGAGAAGACCCUAUAGAGCUUUACUUUAUUUAAAAUUUAUUUUUUUAUGCUUUUUUAUACUUAAUUUUUAUAUCGAGUUGAGUUGGGGCGACUUUGAGGAUUUUUUAACCCUCGAUUAUUAAUUUCACUAAUUGGUGUUUUAGAUCCAUUAUUAAUGAUUAUAAGAUUAAGCUACCUUAGGGAUAACAGCGUAAUUUAUUUGGAGAGUUCUUAUCGAUAAAUAAGAUUGCGA